UACGUAGGGUCCGAGCGUUGUCCGGAAUUAUUGGGCGUAAAGAGCGUGUAGGCGGCUUGGUAGGUCCGCUGUGAAAACUCGAGGCUCAACCUCGAGAUGUCGGCGGAAACCACUUGGCUAGAGUCCGGAAGAGGAGAGUGGAAUUCCCGGUGUAGCGGUGAAAUGCGCAGAUAUCGGGAAGAACACCUAUGGCGAAGGCAGCUCUCUGGGACGGUACUGACGCUGAGACGCGAAAGCGUGGGGAGCGAACAGG
rnacentral:rRNA from 1 species